rnacentral:rRNA from 1 species
UACGGAGGAUCCGAGCGUUAUCCGGAUUUAUUGGGUUUAAAGGGUGCGCAGGCGGGAGAUUAAGUCGGCGGUGAAAUUUUGCAGCUCAACUGUAAAAGUGCCUUCGAAACUGGUUUCCUUGAGUGUAGAUGAAGUAGGCGGAAUUCGUGGUGUAGCGGUGAAAUGCAUAGAUAUCACGAGGAACUCCGAUUGCGAAGGCAGCUUACUAAGCUACUACUGACGCUCAGGCACGAAGGCGUGGGGAUCAAACAGGAUUAGAUACCCCGGUAGU